CCUACGGGUGGCAGCAGUGGGGGAUAUUGCACAAUGGGGGAAACCCUGAUGCAGCGACGCCGCGUGGGUGAAGAAGCGCCUCGGCGCGUAAAGCUCUGUCAGCAGGGAAGAAAAUGACGGUACUUGUAGAAGAAGCCCCUGCUAACUACGUGCCAGCAGCCGCGGUAAUACGUAGGGGGCGCGCGAUAUCCGGAUUUACGGGGGGUAACGGGGGCGCAGACGGCGAUGCAAGCCAGGAGUGAAAGCCCUGGGCUCAACCCCGGGACUGCGCUUGGAACUGGGUGGCUAGAGUACAGGAGGGGCAGGCGGAAUUCCUGGUGUAGCGGUGAAAUGCGUAGAGAUCAGGAGGAACACCGGUGGCGAAGGCGGCCUGCUGGACUGCAACUGACGUUGAGGCCCGAAAGCGUGGGGAGCAAACAGGAUUAGAUACCCUGGUAGUC
rnacentral:rRNA from 1 species